rnacentral:tRNA from 1 species
GCGUUGGUAGUGUAGUAGUUAGCAUCCGAGCCUUCCAAGCUUGGGACGCGGGUGCAAAUCCCGCCCGGCGCA